rnacentral:rRNA from 1 species
AUAUGGAGGAUCCGAGCGUUAUCCGGAUUUAUUGGGUUUAAAGGGUGCGCAGGCGGCCAUUUAAGUCAGCGGUUAAAUCGUGGGGCUCAACCCCAUUCUGCCGUUGAUACUGGGUGGCUUGAUUGCGGUCGAGGUUGGCGGAAUUCGUUGUGUAGCGGUGAAAUGCAUAGAUAUGACGAAGAACACCGAUUGCGUAGGCAGCUGACCAGACCGCAAAUGACGCUCAUGCACGAAAGUGCGGGGAUCGAACAGGAUUAGAUACCCUGGUAGUCCGCACAGUAAACGAUGAAUACUUGUUUUCGGCGAUAUAAUGUCGGAGGCAAAGCGAAAGCGAUAAGUAUUCCACCUGGGGAGUACGCCGGCAACGGUGAAACUCAAAUGAAUUGACGGGG